AAAUAUGAAGCAAUAAAUUGCAUUUAAUUUCGACUUAAAAAUUAGAGUUAUUUUCUCCUUAUUUA
rnacentral:tRNA from 1 species